GCGCGGAGGGCGGAGCGGGGCGCAGGGAAUUAAAUUUCAGCAAGAACUUCUUGACGAGGUUCUGAAAUCUCCUUCUCUAGAGGAGACUACCUGAUUCAAAACCUGCCUGGGUGCAUUCCUGUGUCACCUGCUUUUGAUAACCCUGCCUUGGCCAGGGGGCUAGGCUAGAUGAUCUCCAGAAGCCCCUUCCAACCCUAAUGAUUACGUGAAUUCUUUGUGUGGAAAUGUGAUUUGUGCUAGAGAAUUAAAAUAUCUUAAAAAUGUUUUUGGGUUCAAACUGACAAAGAGGUUUCAUUUCGGUGGGUUUGAGGUUUUGGGAUGUUCUGGUUGGAUUUGGGCUUUUUUUUGUUUGUUUGAGCUUUUUUUUAGAAAAUGAACUUUGUUUUGUUUUACAAAAAUAGGUCUACUUCUUUUCCUGUCUUCUUGCUGCAGUGAUGACGAUGUACAUAAAUGAUCUAGUUGAUACUCCUAAAAGAUUAGUGAAAUGAAGAAAUAACAGAAAAUGCCAUGUUUUCAAUAGAUUCUUCUCUGACAUAAUCAUCUAGUAGUGGUAAUAAUGAAGUGUGUGUACAUAAAUGAAUUUGAAACAAUGUUUGCAGAACUGACAAUGUUACCAGGCUCAAAAUCUAGUGCAGUCACAGGUUUGAUACUCAACUGAAGAACUUGGAAUUAGAGCAGAACUGUGUCCUGUGUUUAUAUCUAUUUUAGUACCUAGUGCUGGCAGACUUACCUGAUGCCAAAGAGGUGAGGUGAAAACACAGAGAUUUCUUUACUAAAACUUAGAAAAGGAAUGCAAACAAAUUCAUAAUGUGAAGAGGUAUAAGCUUUCCAGUCAGUUUUGAGCCUCUCUGAAUUUUUCAUCGUGUUCUAGUCAUGACAUUUUAGAGAAUUGCAUUUAGAGGUCAUGUUGGGAAAGAAAAAGAUUUUCCUAGUUACCUUUUUGUGCAAUGGUAAAUUGUGGUGUCAGGGUAGUUGUACCUUUCUAAUUCCUAUGACUGUAAUGUUGGUCUGCUCAGAUUACCAAAUCUUUUGCUGAGACGCCAGAUUGUAUCUCCUGUAUUUCACAAUUCCUCAAUCUUUAGAGUAGAGUGAACACUUUCCCACUCCAGAGGAGGCUUCACUUCUUCCACCUCUUGCUGGUGUUCAUCAGAACCCUUGCUGAGCUAGGAUAUCUCACUAACCAGCAGAAAGCCACCCACUGCUCUGAUGUGGUUUAAGGGUUUGUGGUUUUCGGGGUUUUUUUUUGUUUUGGUUUGGUUUUUUUUUCAAAGUAGCAUUAAUCUUUACCAGAUUAUUAAUUAGAAUGGUUCACUGACAAGUCCGAUGACUGCUAGAGUGAUAUUAAUAGAAGAGUGUUGUUCUGAUUUUUAAGAUUUUCUAAAGCCUUCUGAGUUUACAUUCUUGUAGAGAACUUUCUCACACAACUUUCUGUAAACAAUCUAUUGUUUUGCAUUCCUCCAUAGAAGUGGAGAAACUUAAUGUACUAAUAGUUUAUCCAAUGUCAUUGGAGAGGUGGCACAUUCAUCCUCCAAUCCACUCUCACCUUUAGAAAAAUAUAAAUGCUAGAGCAGAAAAUAAACUUCCUCUUUUUCACCUUUGCAAUAGCAGCGGCUGGCGUCGUGCUUUCAGGUGUCCUAUAGUGACAGAAGAGGGUAAGGAAAUUCAACUUGCAGAGCACUGAAGUAUUUAAUAGCCACAAUAGAGAACUAGUUCUGUAGGUUUUCCCUAAAAGCAUUAAGACUUUCUCACAAUUUUGUUGCAGCAUUUUUGAGAGAAAGAGGGCAUGAAUUGUGAAAGUUGAGCUACUCCAGGCUAGGCCUCAGAUUGAGGCCUGGUGGGGCCUUCAGGCCUCUGACGCAGUUAGAAAUUCAGAGGUUGUGGCGCAGAUAGAAAAUAGUCUUAAGGUAUUGUAGGGACCACCGGGUGUGAACUAGUAUAGGUUUUAUGGUGUACAGUGUAGGCCGUUUUAAGGAAAAGGUAAACAAUGUUAGCCUACCAAUCAGAGUGUCUUUGUUUCUGUAAACUAUGUAGAAGCAUAUAUAAACUACCGCCUGAUUUUGAAUAAACGGAGAACGUUG
ensembl:lncRNA